CUUCUUACAAACCGAUUAAAAUGCAACAGAUUAAAAUGCAGCAGAACUGAAGCAAUGCACUGGGUGCCCAUGGGAUUCACGGAUCUUCCCAUAGGUCCCACCACCCAGAAGCAGCAUGCCUGAUAGAACAGUGGAAUGGCCCCAUAGGGGUUAUGCAACUGAGCCUGUUGAUAUCUCAUGACAUGUGAGGCUGGAGUGCUCUUUUACAAAGUACCGUGUCUAUUAUGUAGCACAUUCAACAGGAGCUGAUUCUUGUAUGGCCAGAAAACUUGGGUUUGGGAACCAAGGGAUAAGAAUGGGACUGGCUUCAUUUACUAUUGCACAUAAUAAUCCACACCCAAUAAAGUUUUGCUUCUUACCACUGCAACUUUGAGCUCUGGAGGUUUAGAGACCUUGGUUCCCAAGGGAAGAAUGCCUCUACCAGGGAAUACGAUGGUUUAUUGCAUGGAGAAUUGAGACUGCCACCUGGACAUGUGGAGUUCAUUAUACCACUAAGCCAAUAGGCAAAGGAGGAGGUUAGUGUCUUGGCUGAGAAGACUGACCCCAAAUAUCAAAGAACAGAGAUUUGCUCCACACAUGGGGACAAGGAGGAAUAUGUCUGAAAUCCAUUACAUCCUUUGAAGAUGCUCUUUCUAUUUCAUUGUCCAAAGGGAAAAAUCAGUGGAAAACUAUAGCAACCCCAUACAGGAAAAACCAUCAAGAGCUCAGAAAUGAAUGUCUGGUCACCCCAACAAAUAAAGAACCAAAAUCAGCUGAGGUUCAAAUUGGAAGAAGGCCAACUGUGGCCUCAGGAUGAGUUGCAGACUUGAGAACAAUUGCAGCAGCCUGGAUUUUUGUGUUUGUUUUAUGUGUUUGUAUAUACCAAUUUCCUUUUUUUCCCCAAGUGUUCACAUUGGUUACAUUUAUUACUGAUCUUUAGGAUAUAAGAUUGUGGUGGCCAUGGAGGUGUACCGCCCAGAUCUACUUCAAAAGAAUCUGCUGUGGGAAGCAUAGUUGAUGACGGCCUUCAGCUUACUCCUUCUCCAGAUCCAUGAUAGCUGUCAGACCAACACCGCACUUCUACGGAGUAUAGCCAGCCAAUGGCUGAGAGUGGCAGGGGCCAACUUUUCUUGGGCCAUUACUGCUCAACCUGGCACCCUUUGCUCAGGAAUUCUCACCAACCUGGUCCAGACUUUCUCAGACCUGCAAUGGGGUCUGAAGAUACUCUGCCUCCUCCUGUUCCCAAGAUCCUUUAUCCUUGCCAGGCAUUUCCACCAAUAAAUCUCUUUCACAUAUAAUUCAGUCUUGGCAUCGGCUCUUGGAGGACCCAAACUGACAGGGAUAUGAAGCUGAGAUUGUGAUUAAACAAUCUCACUCAAAGAUGGAUAUGAUGAUUUUAUGAGACUUUUCAGAGGAUCAGAGUGUUCUAUUUGCGUAGAGAAUAGUUGUAUUGUGUUAGGAGCAUGCUGUUACUAUUAUUGUUUUCUAGAAAUUUUAAUAAAGAAGGUUGUGUGCAUAUGCUGAGCAGCCAGAGUGGUAGGCUUGCUAGAUAGUGUCUCAAUAAGCACUCAAAAUCCAGUUCCCCUAAAUCCUAAUUCCAUUUUUGUGUGUCAUGUUGCAGCUGCCUUACGCUAGUAUUCUGGAUGUGAUUUUGGGUCGAAUGAGAUGCACUUACUAAUAUCUGCAAUGUACAAUGUAGGCAGCAGCAGCACCAGCUAAAGCUGAGCUCCGGUAGAGUUGGAUUGGAUUUUUACAGUGACCUAACUCUUCAGUGUGAUAUUUCCUCCUGGUCAUCAGCUACAGGCUGUGAGACAGCCUGGGGGAGACAGGGUAGCCAUGUUUCCCACUACCUCCCAACCACUGGCUGGCGCACCAGCCUCCUGGCCUUAGGUCACAGCCACAAUGACACGACCUCCUAAAAUCCCUGGCAAGCUGGAAGAGCAGCCCUGCAACCAAGUCUGCUGGUAAGAUAAGGGUUUCUGUUUACUAACCUAGAGCUGCUCUAUUCUUUCAUCCUUGUUCCCCUUUCAACCGUCUCUCGCAAGUACUAGUUUUGCCAUUAAAUAUGCAUUUUGUUUUGCAAAAUGAGAAGAGCUUAUAAAUACUUCAAAUUUUCUCCCUCUGUUUCACUCCUUUCCAUUUCUUUCUAAAAUUACGGUAAAAUAUUAAAUAUACAAAAUAUUUUUGUCUUUAUGCAAAACAAUAAUACCAUAAAAUAAAACACUACAGAGUUGAAGCCCUCUGAGGAUCUCUCCAUUUCUUCCAGCCAUAACGAAUAUCCUGAACUUUGCAUUUCUUUUCCCUUUGCAGUUGCUUAUUUUUUCUACAUCUGAAUAUAUCCUGACACAUUUUUAAAAUUUAUAGAAAUACCACACUGAAUACAUUUUUCUGUAACUUGCCUUUGCACUGCAUUGUGAGAUUAAGCUAUGUUGAUCUGUUUAACUCCAGCUGAUGUAUGUAAUCAUCCCCUAAUGACAUUCUGUUGUUUGACUAUACCAAAAUUUAUUCAGGUCUCUGAUAAUGAGCAUUUAGAUUGGUUUGUUUUCUAUUUACGAAUUUAGCGAUUAUGUGUUUCUAAUUUUUUGUUAUUAUAAACUAUGGUGCUAUGAAUAUUCCUGUACAUGCCACCUUCAAAAUUUUAAAAUUUUAAGUGUUUUAAAAUACAGUCAGGUCAGGAUACGUUCUGAGAAAUUUAUCAUUAGGCAAUUUCAUUUCUAGGCACACAUCAAUGUAUGCAAAUCUAGAUGGCGUAGCCUACUACACACCUAGGCCAUAUGGUGUAGUGUGUUGCUCUGACCACCAUCAUAUAUAUAGUUCAUCAUUGACCAAAAUGGCAUUCUGCGGCACGUCUCUAUUAAAAUUUUUUAGUGGAAAACCG
rnacentral:lncRNA from 1 species